rnacentral:lncRNA from 1 species
AAAGCACGGCCAAUUAAAUUUAGCAAAACUGGCAUUAAUUAUAAGCAGUGGUCUAAAGUCAAACACCCAACUUGUGCUUCAAUAAGCAUGCCACAUCCAAUGGUACCAACCAAGUGGAAAAAGUGGGUCUUAACAUUGCGAGUUUUGGACUGGCAGGAACUGUCUCGAAGCUUUUCACCAACUAUUUCCCGGCCUCUCUCUAUCCAAAACCAAAAGAAGAAUUAUUUGGAAUAAUACACAGCAUGAUUAUGAACCGAAAAGUCCAAUAGAGUACACCAAUUUGUUUUGGAUUUGGAUGAUGGUGUUCUAUCAAAUUCAAAAUAAGAAAAUAAACUUUGAUCACAACUCCAAAACACAGUUUCAUUCAAGUCAGCACAAAGAAGAAAAGAAUUGUGGUCAUAAGUUUAUAUGGGGCUGUCUUUUGGAUUUUUAUGUUGGUUUCCAAUGGUGUAAUCUUUUAGCGACUUGUAUUUGUGUUAAGAUAUGACGUGAGAAUGAAACAACAACAUGACAACAUUAUAAAUUAUAAGUUACACUUUUUUUUUGCACCAUCAAUGACAUUUUGAAUAAUCAACAGCACAAUAUAAUGAAUUUGGGAAAUCAUCCUUGCCUCUAGCCUUACAAAUCUCUGAUUCACCUACCCGCUAUGCUAACCAAAUCAAAGGAACCAACACAGCAAAAUUUCUUACUACUCAAGCACUCAAAAAACUUACUCCCAAGACCACUCCAAGUAACAAAAAAUUCAGUGAUGAGGACAUAAAAAUGGGGCCAUACAAAGCCUGUGAAGUUGAACACACUUACGAGGCAGGACCAUCUUCAGUUGCAUGAAUGAAAUCUAUCUUCGCAUUGUAGAUCGGGAAGCUGGUGAUGAAUAGUGAGUUUUCACCGGAGCAUCCUCCUUCCUCUCACCAGUUUUCCCAGGAGCAUCCUCCUUCUUCCUCUCACCAGCCUGUGGCAAAGUGCUUCCUUCUCUACGCUCCUCCCUGAGUGCAGUUUCAUAUGACUAAAUUAAAGUACAUGUUGAUUAUUACCGCAUAAAAAAACCAAUAUACUAUUAAUUACAGGCAUUUCAUUACUCCAAUUGUCAUUAAAUAAUUAAUUAAACUAGUUAGGUCGCCAUGCCUAAACCCUAAACCCUAAUUAACCAACUGUAGAAAGAAAUUAACAACUGUUAAUUGACUAACAGAAUACCUUUUCAACCGACGCCAAAGGACCUCAUUGACCUCAAUCUCAAGCACUUCCUUCUCAUCCUCAGACCCAUCUUCUCUAAAACCCGAAACAGCCGACACACAAGCCAUCGUUGGAGAUUGAUCCGAUUCCAGAUCGAAACACGCGAUGCUUUGCCAGGAAAGGGAAAACUUUCUGAGUUAUUAUGAGCAAAAUUUUAGGGUUUGGCUUUGAAGGCUGUUAUAAACGCAACGACAUGUUGGUUUGGGCAUUUUCAUUUUCUUGGGCUACAAAGACCGGGCAAUGGAGCUAACGGGUCUAGCCCAAUAGAAAAGGGUAUUGACUUGCAGACAAGAGAUCUCAAGUUUGAAUUCUCACGGCAUUAUAGUUGUAUGUGUGUGUGAGAAAUUCACCUUCCCUUUAAUUUAGAUUAUCACUUGUACUUAAAAAAAAAACAAUAAUUAGAUAAUUAGACCCAAGAUUUAUUUUUAAAUAUGCAGACUCGCCCUAUAUGUAAGUUUCUGCAAAAGAGCAGAAGCCUUCAGAAAGAGCACAACCCACAACAGGUCUGAGUAUCCAAAAUAUUCAUCACGUACAUCUAAGCACAACUCCAAUCGCUUAAGAUUCCCAAGUGGCGCUAUGUUUUCCGCAAUCUUGUCAU